rnacentral:tRNA from 1 species
GGGCCGGUAGCUCAGCUUGGUAGAGAACUUGGCUUUUAACCAAGGGGUCGCGGGUUCAAAGGGAUGUUAGGGAUAACAUCACAGAAAAUCCUGCUCGGCCCA